rnacentral:rRNA from 1 species
AUUACCGCGGCUGCUGGCACGUAGUUAGCCGAGGCUUAUUCCACUGGUACCGUCCUUCCUCUUCCCAGUGAAAAGGGGUUUACAACCCGAAGGCUUUCAUCCCCCACGCGGUGUCGCUGCGUCAGGCUUUCGCCCAUUGCGCAAUAUCCCUUGCUGCUGCCUCCCGUAGG